UGAGCUUAGUAGCUCUUGAUGUGUGGUUUAUAAAUAGAAAAUUUCUUUAAAAGUGUUUGCCAAUGUCAGCACUGCUUUCUGUGGUGUUCUGUGGCACAGCCAAGUAAAUAUUCACAGCACCCAUCUCAAGGUCCUAACUACCAGAAGCAUGGAGUCUCUGGGGGAAGAAGGCAUGUGGGAAGGCAGGACAUUGAAAAGCAGAGUUAACAUGCUUAAUUUAUAAUAUCUGCCAGGAUAUCAAUACUGGGUUUUAAAACAUCCCAGUGUCUGCUAUCAUAAAAUGACCAUUUUGUUUCCUCAUGGUGGAAAGCUGCUUAAUAGUAGAGCAAAAUAGAAAUCACAUG